GAUGAACGCUGGCGGCGUGCCUAAUACAUGCAAGUCGAGCGAAGCGGGGACGGGUGAGUAACACGUGGAUAACCUCCUAUAAGACUGGGAUAACUUCGGGAAACCGGAGCUAAACCGUCUACUUAUAGAUGGUUCCGCGCUGCAUUAGCUAGUUGGUAAGGUAACGGCUUACCAAGGCAACGAUGCAUAGCCGACCGGAGAGGGUGUUCGGCCACACUGGAACUGAGACACGGUCCAGACUCCUACGGGAGGCAGCAGUAGGGAAUCUUCCGCAAUGGGCGAAAGCCUGACGGGGCAACGCCGCGUGAGUGAUGAAGGUCUUGGGAUCGUAAAACUAUGUUAUUUGGGUAGCGGUACCUAAUCAAAAAGCCCCGGCUAACUACGUGCCAGCAGCCGCGGUAAUAC
rnacentral:rRNA from 1 species